AUCAGGUACCCAUAAAAACCUGGCCUAUUGCCAUCCCUAAUGAUGAGCCAUCUAUUGGAUAAGCAAUGUGGCAAAUGAGCAAUCUAUCUUGAUAAACAAUGUAACUAAUGGACUAUCUAUUCUAAUGUAAUGUGGCUGAGGAGCCAUCUAUUCUAGAUUGGCAAUAUGGCUAAGGAGCCAUCUAUUCUAGAUAAGCCAUUUGUUUGGCCGAAUCAUCUUCUGACAAACCAUAUGUGGCAGAAUAA
rnacentral:misc_RNA from 1 species